rnacentral:misc_RNA from 1 species
GAAAUUAUUGCAAAACUAUGGUACUAAUUAGAAAAUUGAUAAUUGUAGGGUUUUAUUUUGAUGGAGUUUUUCAACCCAGUUCAAUUAGAAAUAGAAGCAUAACAAUGACACAAACCAUGUGACUAAUUAGGGAAUAGACAGAUUUGAAAUCCAGAGCAACUAAAAUUAUCAAAUCAAAGAAGGACCAGAGUCUCGAAGCAGUGCAAUCCAUCCAAAAAGGGGGCGAAAGCUGGAGCAAGCUGCUGCGACUUGGUAGUGGGUGCCUUAUUCUUGGACAAGUUGAAAUUGUUGUUCUUGUUCAUUUCACUUUUGAUGAGUUGAUGAUCAGCUUUAUGUGAUUUGUCGGAUUCCCUUUCUGUUGCUGUAUUACCUGCGCAAGAAUUAUUCGCCAUAUUGAGAAGAGAAGGCGAAGGCACACCAAAC